rnacentral:lncRNA from 1 species
CCGGCCUGAAGGGAGGAAGAGGAAGGAACCCAUAAUCAUCCCAAACUGGCGCAAAUGGGUCUGGGGAAUAAAGAAUGGGAUGAAAUGGUGAGAGUCCAGAGGGGUUGAGCAAAGAACUCACUAUCACACAGCAAGGCACUAAUUUGAAAUGCCUGGGAGAAGUAGAAGCUGCAUUUGACUCUCAUAUUCUUAUUGGACCAGGAAGGCAGGAGGAGACACCAGUGUGCACCAGAGAAGGAGAAGUCAGAGAUGACAGUCCCUGCCUGAGGCCAUCUCUGGUCCACCAGACAACUCAUCACCAACUUCCCAACAGCCACUGCUCUAGGCCAGGCUUGGAUCUGCUCUUGAAUCUGCCCCUGCGGAAAGAGGGCCGUUUGGACAGGCUGUGCCUGGAGAUUUCUGGCCUCAUAAAAUCCUCCUGGUCUCUUAGGAGAGCUGGUGACACUCUCCAGGUCCUUGGUGGAGCCUGAUGAUUGACAUCUUAAGCAAAUUCUCUGGAGAAGUCGAUGCUCCUGAUGGAGGCUCACACAUUGAUAACCCCUGGUUUAGAGACACUACUAAUUGUUCCAGCUCAUCCAGCUAAUAAAUGACAGAUCUCAGACUUAAU